CAACUUUUCCAUUUUCAAUCACAGCUAUGGAAUCAGAUUUCUGUAUGGUUGAUAGUCGAUGUGCAACUACUACACAAGUCCUGCCAACCAUCAUCUUCUCCAAUGCUUCUUGCACCAGAUUCUCCGAUGCACUAUCGAGUGCGCUAGUUGCCUCAUCUAACAGAAGGAUUGCUGGAUUCUUGAGUAUUGCUCGAGCAAGUGCAACUCUCUGCUUCUGGCCUCCUGAUAGCUGCACCCCUCUUUCUCCACAGUUGAACCAUGGGACACCGAUAAACUUACCAAUGAAAGCUGAUACUGCAACGCCAAUAGCUAGGAUGAGCAGCUUGAGUGCAUACUUCAAGAUCAGAAACAACUCGUCAAUAAUGAUGCAGUACAGUUAAUAUAUGCAAGUUAUACAAUACAUACCUUGUCCACCACGUCAUUGGAGAAAGUCAGAUCACCACUCCCAUAAUCAUCGAUGAUCCCACCAAGGAUUACCAUUGUAAGGGGAGACAUCAACCCAUCUCCAAUGCAUCCUAAGCUAUGGAAUCAGAUUUCUGUAUGGUUGAUAACCGAUGUGCAACUACUACACAUGUCCUGCCGACCAUCAUCUUCU